UGUUGGUCCAAGCACAGUGGUGUUUACAACUAAUUGAUCACAACCAGUUAUAGAUUCCUUUGUUCCUUCUCCAUUCCCACUGCUUCACUUGACCAGCAAAAC
ensembl:misc_RNA Y_RNA Y RNA